AAAAACAUUUGAUUUUCAUUGAUACUAGUCAUCCACAAAUCAUAGAGUGAAAUAAAAAUACUGGAUCAUGAGAAAAAAGAACAAAACAAAUCCCAUCUCGGUUACUGAUACGUCUAACUAGGCUAGGAGAUCUUAAGGCUAGGAAGGACCGGGUUCUUGGUUAUUGUCUUGAAGCAGUUUUAGCAUAUCAUAAAGAAUUCCAUCAUUCUCCUUCUCAUUUUCCAACUCAGCUCUGAGAGCAUCUCUCUCAGUUUCCACUUCUGCCAACCUCUUCUUUAGUCUUUCAAUUUCAACAUCCUUAGCAUUAUUUUCUUGCACUAAAGCUGACACUUUGG
rnacentral:lncRNA from 1 species